rnacentral:tRNA from 1 species
CGACGGGGGCGGUCUUUCGUCCGACCGCCGCCUCGGCCGUGGGCGUCAGGGCCACCACGAGGAGUACGGCGGCCAGUGCGGCUCUGGCCCUGACGA